UGCAGUGAAGUCAUUACACUGCGUCCAGCCACAGAGCAGCCUCUGUUUGACUCCUCAGCUCCUGUUUAACCACUUCCCUCCAAACAGAUCCUCCACCAUGUGUAUGCUGAGAAGCUGCCCAGGCCAGACAAGCAGAUGUUCUACAGACUUUGGAUCCUGACAGCCCAUUCUCCAACUAUUUCUGACGGCUAAAUAAUCUGUCAGUGCCAAAGCAGCAUAUUUAACUUAAGGGUUGCCAGAAAUCAGAUACCCACGCCUUUCUUCUUAAGGAGUACAAGGAUAUGAAAAACAGGAGAAGUAGCAUCAUCCACUGCCAGAUACACUCACAUCCUCCUUGUACACAGCAUGAAUAUCAUGAGUUUCACAGCAGAUGACUGCACGGAGGAGCUGGGAAAAGGAAGGAAAUCUUUGCUACUUUACCAGUAAUUUGUCAGACAAGACCACUGCUUUAUACAUUUUUGAACCCCCAUGGCCUUCCACGUUACUUGUAGGUGAGCAGCAAACUUGCCCCCAGUGCCUGCCAAAUUAAACUGCAGCUCCUUGAGAGCCCCUGUGAACAGCUCCCGUGAAGCGCAGUGCUCAUAAACACCUUCCUGCAAUUCACAGAGAUCUCUUUAAUAAAUUAACAAAGCUGUCACAGAAGUAUAAAUGGGAAAUCAUUUUUUUAAAUAGAACCAUUUAAGAUCACACAAUUUCAGAAGCCUUUUGCAACAUUUUGUAAUUCCUUUAGGCCACUGCAGGUCUCCUUUACACUUGUGACGAUGCCCCUUUCAAUUUGCAUUUAAAAGACAGUAAAUUGCAGGGUCCAUAAACAUUUUUAUAGUGAUUUAUUGAAGACCAGAAUGUCACUCCUGUUCUUCACACUUUAGCAGUCCUGGGAAUCGGCUGCAGGGCUGUAUGUGUAAUCUUGCUUUACCCAUAAACUAUACAAGAACAAGCCAGUUCUGAAACCUAUUAUUUAUUUAUUUUUUCUUGCUUAAAAGACAUUUGUGGCACUAUUUUACAUCUAUAUUUAUCUUUCAGUUAUAAGAUGACCCAUUUUAUUCAGCCUUCAAGUUAUAACCAGGUUUUCACAAUUUACAAAGUACUUGGUUUGCAAAUUAGAAUUGUUCAGAGACAGGAUUGCAUUAUGCCAAGGAACAAAGGAUUCUUUCUCUUCUCUUUUUAAUAAAACACACAAAAUCCAAAGAAUAUUGGAUUUAUUAUCACCACUAGAUAACUUUACCAUACAGGAAUGUACUGAAAUUCUUUUUUUAUUUAAAAUCUAAACCACAGAAAUGCACUGUGAAACUUCAGCUGGAGAAUAUUCUAAGGUUCUGCUCCUUCAAAGACAAAAGGGAAAACGUUCAUUGCAAUUGGACCUCUGAUACUCCUAUCCUCCUUCACAGGCAACAAAGUCACAAAAGAAGGUAAACAGUGCCAAGAAGUGUUGUUUAUAAGGGCACUGUGAUCUUUCCUGCAUCCCAGUGGAGCUUUACCAGGGGGAAUCUAGAAACCUCUCUGCACAAACAGUGUAGGGGGAAAAAAAAAAAAAACACAAGGAAGAAAAAAAAAAAAGACUGCACCUCAUUUGCCCUUCCAGUGACCAGGAGGGAGUAUUUCUUUCUACUUUUUUCACAUUACAAUAAUGGCUUCACAGCUCUUGAAAAGAGCGCUAGUGCACCAGCAAAUGGUGCAUGACACGCUGAAGCCCUGGUCUUUGUCGCAACAGCUCCGCUCCAAAGAAAGUCCUUCCUUGCCUUCUUUUCCUUGCCAUUAACUGUGAUGAAAUGAGUUUUUCCCCCUUUUGAUUCCACCCCCCUCGCUGUCUAUUACAGUCUGACCUGAUUGCACUUAUGCACAGAUUAUUUCAUAGAGACAUCCUUUUAUUCAGGUUUGCGAGUUUGCCUGCAAGGUUAUCUGUUCACAAAGCAACGCCUCAUUCCUCGUACUCAUUUUUUUUGAAAUCUGAUCUCAUUGAUAAGAACAAGACCAUUCGCAUUGCAUUUGUCAGAUAAGUAGCUCCAUGCCAGAGUAAUAAUUUUUUGUGACUAUUGUCAGGGCUCCAGUUAAAAUACAUCAACCGAUAAAAAUGCAAGUAUUGUAAAAAUAACCUUGCAUCAGAAGUGUUGGCCCUCCAGUUUUUCCAAGGAAUGUUAUGUCCUUUCCCUUAAUAACAAUCUAUUAUAGUCAGAGCAUCUUCACUUUUUCACAAGAAUUAUUUUUAAGAAUUAUUUUAAAAUAUUCCUACUGUGGUGCUGCCAUUGGUAGCACGGAACUUGAAAGGAAAUAAAUAAGUAGAGAGGAUCAA